GAUGAACGCUGGCGGCGUGCCUAAUACAUGCAAGUCGAACGGGGUUGUUGUAGCAAUACGACAACUUAGUGGCGAACGGGUGAGUAACGCGUUGGUGACCUGCCCCGAAGAGGGGGAUAACAGUCCGAAAGGAUUGCUAAUACCCCAUGUCGUCAUGGUGCUUAGAAAGCCAUGCCGAAAGGUGCAAACCGCUCUGGGAGGGGCCUGCGUCCCAUCAGCUAGUUGGUAGGGUAAUGGCCUACCAAGGCGACGACGGGUAGGGGACCUGAGAGGGUGACCCCCCACACUGGCACUGAAACACGGGCCAGACACCUACGGGAGGCUG
rnacentral:rRNA from 1 species